UGAUGCAGAGAAAUACACCGGUGUGCCGAUUGCAUCAGGGUUACGGAUUACAUCAAGAGGGCAUGUUUUGUUUCUUGUGUGUCCUAAUGUAAUGCCUCCAUUGUCGGCCCAAAGUGGAAAUACGUAGUAACCUUCACCUGGUUUAAGAGGGUUACCUUGUUUGUCUACUACUGCCUCUGGUUCAGCUCCUUGUACCCAAAGUGGAAAUACGUAGUAACCUUCACCUGGUUUAAGAGGGUUACCUUGUUUGUCUAC
rnacentral:lncRNA from 1 species